rnacentral:snRNA from 1 species
AGAGGUGCAGUUGAUAUGACUGCAACAUCUAUCACUCCAUUGAUCAUCAGAGUAGAUAUGGCCGAUUUUGAUGGUUAAAAUGGUGGCCCCUUCCUCCCUCACCACUCCAUAUGACCUCCUGAAGCUAUGUACUGUGUUGAGGAUGACCUUCUCUGAUAAAGGAGGACCAUUAUUCAGUCAAGGCUGUAUGCACUCUCUCCAAAAAUCCUCUCAGGGCUGGUAACCCCUUCCCU